GCGCAGCUGGCCGAGCUUCGGGCCACGGGCGCCGGGGGGUGGCGGGCCGCAAGCUCGGGCCCGGGCAAAGGCUCUCGCAAGAAGAGGAGCCUGCCUUGCGAGGAGAGCUCGAGCCGGCCGGGCGAGAGCCCUGAGGGCAUGGAGCGCGCGGGAGCUGAAGGACAGGCUGGAGCUGGAGCUGCUGCGGCAGGGCGAGGAGCAGUACGAGUGCGUUCUGAAGCGCAAGGAGCAGCACGCGGCCGAGCAAAUCUCCAAAAUGAUGGAGCUGGCCAGAGAGAAACAGGCGGCAGAGCUGAAGGCCCUGAAGGAGACGGCGGAGA
rnacentral:lncRNA from 1 species